GCAAUAUAUACAUAAAAAGGGUCUUAUAUUUAUUUAUCAGAGUCAUAAAGACUUCGAAACAGAGGGUUUUGUUAUACUACAACAGGUGUGAUCUUGAUAUACUUUGGUCUGAUGUCUCUAUUGAAGAUUGCUUUCUGUCUUUCUUUUGGGGUGCUGCUGAAUCUAGUACGUAAUUCUUGUUUUGGUUUCAGAUCUGAAAACACAUGUAGAUUGGAGUAAGUUAAUGAUUGCAGAUUUGGACUCUAUCUAUAACAAUACUGCAUGCUUCACAAAAUUUAUGGACGUGAAAAAUAAAAUAUAGAUAUCCAGAGAACAUGUUUACAUAGUUGUAGUAGUUACGAUUGAGCUAGCGUUAUAACAGAUGCAGCAAUCAUGGACUGAAAAAAACGCUUUCUGGAUUUAAAUAGUAUCUUAAUGCUUGACAUGUUUCUGAUUGUAGGAUGGUUAACCUCGCACUCUCUAUAAUGGCUGGAGAUGUGUUUAGGAAAGCUGAAUGAAUUUCUUUUGCUUGUUCGUAAAGAAAUAGGGUCUAAGUGUUUCUUGUGUUAAUAAGUUCUUCUUUAUUUGGUAUGGAUUUUGUUUUUCUGGUGUUUUAUUGUUAUAUGUUACAUGUAAAUGGAUCACAAAUCUUCUCAUGCAUCUAACGUAAAUUGACAUCCCUUGG